CCUACGGGUGGCAGCAGUGGGGGAUAUUGCACAAUGGGGGAAACCCUGAUGCAGCGACGCCGCGUGUGGGAAGACGGUCUUCUGGAUUGUAAACCACUGUCCCCAGGGACGAAAAUGACGGUACCUGGGGAGGAAGCUCCGGCUAACUACGUGCCAGCAGCCGCGGGAAUACGUAGGGAGCAAGCGUUGUCCGGAAUUACUGGGUGUAAAGGGAGCGUAGGCGGGGAUGCAAGUUGGGUGUCAAAACUACCGGCUCAACCGAUAGUCGCACUCAAAACUGCAACUCUUGAGUGAAGUAGAGGCAGGCGGAAUUCCUGGUGUAGCGGUGAAAUGCGUAGAUAUUAGGAGGAACACCAGUGGCGAAGGCGGCCUGCUGGGCUUUUACUGACGCUGAGGCUCGAAAGUGUGGGGAGCAAACAGGAUUAGAUACCCGUGUAGUC
rnacentral:rRNA from 1 species